rnacentral:tRNA from 3 species
GUUGGUCAAGUGGUUAAGACACCGCCCUUUCACGGCGGUAACACGGGUUCGAAUCCCGUACGGGUCA